rnacentral:rRNA from 1 species
GAUGAACGCUGGCGGCGUGCCUAAUACAUGCAAGUCGAGCGAACGGACGAGAAGCUUGCUUUUCUGAUGUUAGCGGCGGACGGGUGAGUAACACGUGGAUAACCUACCUAUAAGACUGGGAUAACUUCGGGAAACCGGAGCUAAUACCGGAUAAUAUUUUGAACCGCAUGGUUCAAAAGUGAAAGACGGUCUUGCUGUCACUUAUAGAUGGAUCCGCGCUGCAUUAGCUAGUUGGUAAGGUAACGGCUUACCAAGGCAACGAUGCAUAGCCGACCUGAGAGGGUAAUCGGCCACACUGGAACUGAGACACGGUCCAGACUCCUACGGGAGGUAGCAGUAGGGAAUCUUCCGCAAUGGGCGAAAGCCUGACGGAGCAACGCCGCGUGAGUGAUGAAGGUCUUCGGAUCGUAAAACUCUGUUAUUAGGGAAGAACAUAUGUGUAAGUAACUGUGCACAUCUUGACGGUACCUAAUCAGAAAGCCACGGCUAACUACGUG